rnacentral:tRNA from 1 species
GCCAGAAUGGCAUAGUGGCUUGAGUGCUGGACUAUGAUUCUGGAGACCAGGGUUCGAUUUCCUGCUUGGCCA